rnacentral:lncRNA from 1 species
CAACUUGUUGACCAUGAUGUCAGACCCUCCAGUUCUGGUCUAGCCAUCCAUGACCUCAGGCCUGCCUUUCACCUUGACUGUAACCUUGUGAAAGAUCCGGGAUCCACAAGCUAGAAAUAGCCACUCAAGGGACCAGCAUCCAGGUCAACCAAGAGGACCUCCAGGCUGUGAUUCAGAGGCAGGAAAUCCACCCCCCACCCCAGGGUGGAACUGCCAGCAUAUUUUGCUGGGACUUUGCCAGCCGUCUGUCCACUAUUUGAUCCCUAGAUGCUAUGUCUUAUCCUGGGGCAUGCUGCAUAGCCAUAUCCCUCCAAGGCCCUGCUGUUCUCUGGUCGCCGAACUCUCUGCCAGGCAGGAACAGCUUCAAGCGUUUGAUGCUACUGGAUUCAUUUCUCUGCUAGGUAAGUGUAUGAGGGGGAGUUAGCUAAAUUGCCAAGAGGAUGUUAUUAUUUUUCAAAACACUUUUCAUUAAGGAAUAUUUUAAGCACACAGCAGUGGAGAGGAGAGUAUA